CCUGGGCUGCAGAUGAGGUGGCUGAAGCUUGACAGCUCUCUUAGAUCACAAGAUUCCUCAGCACCUGCUCUGAUAGGGCUGAAAGUUCUUUGAAAAAUUCAUCUCUUGAAUAAUGAAACAACGGCCUGAGGGAGGAACGUGGAAAUAGACGGUUUACAGCCAAAGCCCAGCAGGAAGCUGUGGACUUCUUGAGUCUCCCAAGGACCCUCGGGUCUUCACUGGGAAAAGAAGGAUUGUCCACCUGGCUCAGCAUCUCAUCUCUACAACCGGAGGUCGAAGUCCCUAAUGCUGACCUUUAAAUAGCAGAUGUGUGGAUCGUUCCAACACGGCUGGAUUUUGAAAGAUGGCUUUCAUCCUAUCCGGGAUACGAGAUUGCAUCCAUACUUUAUCCAGCAUGAAGGAGCAGAGCACUUCCUGGGAGAAGACAGAUCUUGGCUUGAUGAGCGGGACAUGUGGAAACGGGAGCUUUGUCAGGCAGGUCUGAGGGACAAGGCAGGCCAGCCACCUGAACUUGAGUGAUUGUAUAUACCAACGAUGGCUACAACAGUGCUCUGUAGCUACUUCCUAUUUUGUUACCACGGUGCAAGAGGCUUAGCCUCUGGGUUCUGGGCAGUUUGUGGCUUCCACAGUGAGCAUUCCAAGAAGGAAACUAGCUUCUGGAGUUGAGCCCUGACUUCUCUUUGUCCCUGCAGGUGAGGUGACUCAAAGUCUCCUUUCAACACCUAUUCUUCAUUCUCUUGCUGGGGGCCUGGAGGUUUAUUGGCCUGUCCCACCAAGACACCCAGGAUGGUCACAUAGAACAGUUACACAUUCCCCCGACAGGUCUUCUAGCUCUGUCAUUCUCGUUCAAGCCCUGCGUUCUCUACAUUUGAUCCAGGAAGGCAUUGCCUGUCUAUAGGCAUCAGAUGCUGUAGUGGGCUGACCCUUUCUCAGUUGGUUGGGUCAUUUGUGACUGGGCCACUGUUUCUAGUCAUUGGCAGUUUUUCAUCUCAAGCCCCUUCAACCCUCUUCUCUGUCUCGAGACUGAUCCCAUGGUCUUGGAAAUCUCCAAGCCAAUGAUGAGUCAGCAUUCCAGCCCCUCCCCUAACCCCCACCCCCACCCCACCCCCGUCCCCUAAGAAUUCCAUGGACUGACCGUGCAUGGGUUUAUCAGAGGGCCUAGCAGGAUUCAGCCUGGGUCCCCAAUCCACAGCACAUGUAUUUUUAGAUUCCUUCCUUGCUUGCUCUAUUCCCCCACUCCCUCUCUUGGGCUUCCUGGAGGUGCUUCCAGAGUGAGCCACUUGCACCAGUGACCUUAUGUUGAGAUCUGUUCUGUCUAUUAGUAGGGGCUCUCUAGAGGAACAGAAGUAAUAGGGUGAAUAUAUAUCAAGAGGGGGCUUAUUAGAUUGGCUUCUAUGAUAUAGUAUAGUCCAACAAUGGCUGUCAUCAUAUCAGAGACUGAGAACCAGUGGUUGUUCUGUCCUCGAGGCUGGAUGCCCCAGCAGUUCUUAUCUGGUAUUGGAGGCCUGGUGGGUUCCUCGAGAGCCCCUGGUCUUCUGUAGUGGAAGGCUGAGGAAGUAGAGUUCCCGUGUCAACCGAGGAUAGUGGUGGCGGCAGUGGUGGUAGUAGCAGCGGCAGGGUAGAUGCAUCCACAGUGAGGUCUGUCUUUCCACUGCGGGUCCCAGGGAUCAGAUGUCAGUCUUCAGGCUUUAUAGCAGGCACUUUACACUCUAACCCAUCUCACUGACCCCAACGUUAAUUCUUUAUGAAAAAGAAACAAUAUAAAAUGUACUCGAGUCUCCAACAGACUCGAUGUAUGCAUAUCAAAGAAUUCUUUUAAAUAAAUGUGCUGGUGAUUUAUUACCAGUAAAUUUUUAUUUGAAUAUUUUAUAUAUUACCUAUGCAAAAAUAAAUUUCUUGUGUAAAAAAAAAAAUAGUCACAGCUGGGAGAAGUACAAGAAACUCUAGCUUAAAUCUCCACCAGUUUCCUUAGCCAAGACAUGUCGUGCCGUCCAGGAUAUUCAGUGCACAGAAUAAAAUCAAGGAGAACGUU